AUUGAACGCUGGCGGCGUGCCUAAUACAUGCAAGCCGAACGCUUCACUUCGGUGAAGAGUGGCGAACGGGUGAGUAAUACAUAAGUAACCUGGCAUCUACAGGGGGAUAACUGAUGGAAACGUCAGCUAAGACCGCAUGGGUGUAGAGAUCGCAUGAACUCUAUAUGAAAAGUGCUACGGGACUGGUAGAUGAUGGACUUAUGGCGCAUUAGCUGGUUGGUAGGGUAACGGCCUACCAAGGCGACGAUGCGUAGCCGACCUGAGAGGGUGACCGGCCACACUGGGACUGAGACACGGCCCAGACUCCUACGGGAGGCAGCAGUAGGGAAGUUUCGGCAAUGGGGGAAACCCUGACCGAGCAAAGCCGCGUGAAGGAAGAAGUAAUUCGUUAUGUAAACUUCUGUCAUAGAGGAAGAACGGGGGAUAUAGGGAAUGAUAUCCAAGUGACGGUACUCUAUAAGAAAGCCACGGCUAACUACGUGCCAGCCGCCGCCGUAACAC
rnacentral:rRNA from 1 species